CCUACGGGAGGCAGCAGUGAGGAAUAUUGGUCAAUGGACGCAAGUCUGAACCAGCCAUGCCGCGUGCAGGAAGACGGCUCUAUGAGUUGUAAACUGCUUUUGUACGAGGGUAAACGCAGAUACGCGUAUCUGUCUGAAAGUAUCGUACGAAUAAGGAUCGGCUAACUCCGUGCCAGCAGCCGCGGUAAUACGGAGGAUUUAAGCGUUAUCCGGAUUUAUUGGGUUUAAAGGGUGCGUAGGCGGUCGGAUAAGUUAGAGGUGAAAUCCCGAGGCUCAACUUCGGAACUGCCUCUGAUACUGUUCGGCGAGAGAGUAGUUGCGGUAGGCGGAAUGUAUGGUGUAGCGGUGAAAUGCUUAGAGAUCAUACAGAACACCGAUUGCGAAGGCAGCUUACCAAGCUACUUCUGACGUUGAGGCACGAAAGCGUGGGGAGCAAACAGGAUUAGAUACCCGGGUAGUC
rnacentral:rRNA from 1 species